rnacentral:rRNA from 1 species
ACUCCUACGGGAGGCAGCAGUGAGGAAUUUUCCGCAAUGGGCGAAAGCCUGACGGAGCAAUACCGCGUGGAGGAUGACGGCCUGUGGGUCUUAAACUCCUUUUCUUAGAGAAGAAGUUCUGACGGUAUCUAAGGAAUAAGCAUCGGCUGACUCCGUGCCAGCAGCCGCGGUAAUAC